AGACCUUACUUGAUACUUUUUAUUGCAAAAAAUAGCGGAGAAUGGGUAAAAAUAGGGGAUAAAUGGUCAUAUGGAAAUUCGUCAUUUUAAAAGCUGUAACAGUAAAACUUUGUAUUUAGAUACUUAAUGAGGAACGAAAGAACAUGGGCUACUUUUUAUUGCAAAAAAAAUAGGAGAGAAUGGGUAAAAAGAGGGGAUGACUGUUCAUAUGUAAAUUCGUCAUUUUAAAAGCUGUAACAGUGAAACUUUGUAUUUAGACACUUAAAGAUAAACGAAAGAACAUAGGCUACUUUUUAAUUAAUAAAAAGGGUAGAAGGCGUAGAAUGUUUGAUAGAGGAGAUUAAUGUUUGCUUGAAAAUACGUCAUUUUCGUAAUACGUUGCCUGUGGCUUCACUCGCGUUCGAUUCUUAUUUAAAUACACAUAUACUUAUUUAAAUCGCCAAUAUCCCUACUACCAUACUAAUGUUAUGAAUGCGAAAGUAACCCUGUUUGUGUUGUUUUAUGGAAUAUAACAACGAAAAAAUGUAUUUUUUUAUUGAUAGGCAAUAUAUAGGAAAUUAAAGGAUAAUAAUAUAGAUAACCUUGGCUACUUUUCAUCAUGAAUAUAAAAUGGAAUGGAAUUCUAUGGAAUACAUAUCUUUAAAAAUGCUAACAGUAACAUAUUCUCAAGUAAUUCACAUUUUACAUGACAUACGGCAGCAUUUUGACCACUAACACUACCACGCGGACGAAGUCGCAGGCAAAAGCUAGAUGUUUUCAAUAAACGUUCAUGUCAAAUAUUUGUUGUUCAUCCUGUCAAAUACUGUAAAUAAUGAUUGACAUUUAUGCAUAAACUAUUUUAAAUGGGUGAAUAAACAAUUGUCUGUAUUUUUUUUUAAUCUAUUGAAAGUGUUGAAAAGUGCAUUAAGCAUUAAUAGAAAUUCCUCAAACAUCUAUGCGUGCGUUCAGAAAUAAUGAAAAAUUAUUAACAGUUACGCGUGUGUUCAGAAAUUUAUUUUAUGUGAAUUAAAGUUUCUAUUCACGUUUUCGAACAAACGAUCCUCUUUCAAUAUAGUCUAUUGGUGUGAAUGACAUUGACAUUCGUAUUGCGCGUUUUUUAAAAUAUGCAAAAUUAAAUGUAUAUUUUUCAAUAUUUCUGAGAGAUUAUCUUAAUAUUGUUUCGAGUUUUAAAGACUAAGAAGAUUUUUAUUUGCUAAUAAGUGUUUGUUAAUCAAGUUGGAAUUUCGUUUUUAACAAUGCUACCAACCAGACGUACAAGCUUAGGCCGCAGAACUCGAAAUACGGCAAGUCAAAGAAAUAUAAGAGCAAAUCAAACUGAUGAGCAACGCGAAGCGCGAAAUGAACUUGAACUGAAUCGAUAUCAAGAUAGAAAUGUUGUGUUUAAUCCCCACAAAGCUGCAUUCCGUUAUAAUGUGGCAAUUGAUUACAGUUCAGAGCAAAUUGUUGCUAUUGGACUAAUGAACAUUGUGUGUCCACAUUGGGAUUGAAAUUCAAAAAUGAAGCCUCUGGAUUGUGUUGCGCCAGCGGCCAAGUCAAAUUGACGCCAUUGGUACCGCCACCGGAGCCACUACAUUCAUUGGUUAAUUUUUUGACUCAUAUCCAGCAGUACAAUAAUUGCUUUCAAAUGACAUCAUUUGGGGCAACAAAAGUUAUACGAGACAAUUUUAUGCCUACUUUUAGUAAGUAAGUAUAAUGGCAAACGUUUUUUUUUUAGUUUUAAAACCAUGUAGCUGGUGCAUAAUAUGUCGAGUCAGUGAUGUGUUUAUUUUGUAAACAAUAAGUCAAAUACAUAAUAAUAGUCUAUAAUCCGAAGACUUAAUCAACAACAUUUUAUAACAUGUUGUAUUUUAUAGUGGCAUGAGCAAGAUGUUCUUGGUAAAGCCUACUACCUAAAGCUGCCGUGGAAGGCUGUUUAAUGUCGAGGUUAAAAGUAGUUUUAAUUUGAAAUGAUGUAAAGUAUUGUGGCAGUAUUUUGCGAGCCACAUGGUGGUACAAUUUGCUAUACAAUUACCUGUAUACAUAUUUAUAUUCUUGCAGAUUCAGGGAUUCAAAUAUAUCAUCAAACAGGUUCAGCCAUUGCCAGUGCCUGUUGAAGACUGUACAUUUUUUCAAAUAUCUUCGCCCUCUCCGCUAACUGUCGUAUCUCACAAACUGACGUAUCUGCACUGACAUUAAAUAGAUACCUUAGGGCUUUAGGGCGACUACAACAUUAAAGAAUAAGCCAAGACCUAUAUAAAAACUUUUUAAUUCAUUGAUAAAGCCAAAAAUAACGCAUCUACAGUAAUUUUACUGUAACGCCCGACCGAAAAACGGUUGCCCUGGAAAAACAUCAAUUGGUAGUUAGGACAGUUAACCGGGAGGGUGACGAUAUAUUUUAUGGACAAUUCAGCAAGAGAAGUCGAUCAGCGUUGCGCACACAACAACUCAGUAAAAAGAUCCAUUGUAAUGAACAACUUCAAACAUGUUUCCAUCAACACAAUGAAUUAGUUGCAUUAUUCACAAAUGCAUUAGACCGCAUGCCAUCAGAUAAUCACAAAAUUGUCAUCAGAGCCGAUAAGGCGCCUGCAGGACAAAAUGCUGGACAUUUUAAUGUGCCAACAAUUGAUAAAGAGCGCGCGUGGUAUUUAGCUCAAUGUUUACUUAAAAAUGCCAAGUUCUUCAAUAGCGAUUUGUAAAAAUAUUAGUGAAAUUAUUGAAUCCUAUGGAAUAAUCACUAUUAUGAAAAUAUAUUUUGUUUUUUUUUUAAUUAGUAAAGUCCUUUUCAGGUAUAGUGAGAUCAGGAAAUUAUGGAUUCAUUUUUAUAUGGAGGAUAUUAUAGAUUCCAGUUCAAAUUGAAUAGGACUCUCACAUAUACAGGACUCAUACAUAGCUCAGCUAUACAAAAUAAAGUAGAGCAUCAUUGCUACGCGAAAGCGGUACGAAGUUCGCUGGGUCAGCUAGUAA